rnacentral:rRNA from 1 species
GAGCACGUAGGUGGGUUUGUAAGGUCUGUCUGUGAAAUCCCUCGGCUCAACCGAGGAAUUGCAGUGGAUACUGCUGAACUGGAGUGCAGGAGGGGAGAGUGGAAUUCCUGGUGGAGCGGUGAAAUGCGUAGAUAUCAGGAGGAACGCCGGUGGCGAAAGCGACUCUCUGGCCUGUAACUGACGCUGAGGAGCGAAAGCCAGGGGAGCAAACGGGAUUAGAUACCCCGGUAGUCCUGGCCCUAAACGAUGGGCACUAAGUAGAGGGGUUUU